rnacentral:rRNA from 1 species
UGCAGUCGAACGCGUCUCCGUUGAUGAUUUCAGGUGCUUGCACCUGAAAGAUUUAACAUUGAGACGAGUGGCGAACUGGUGAGUAACACGUGGGUAACCUGCCCUUGAAGUAGGGGAUAACACUUGGAAACAGGUGCUAAUACCGUAUAACAACCAAAACCACCUGGUUUUGGUUUAAAAGACGGCUUCGGCUGUCACUUUAGGAUGGACCCGCGGCGUAUUAGCUUGUUGGUAAGGUAACGGCUUACCAAGGCGAUGAUACGUAGCCGACCUGAGAGGGUAAUCGGCCACAUUGGGACUGAGACACGGCCCAAACUCCUACGGGAGGCAGCAGUAGGGAAUCUUCCACAAUGGACGAAAGUCUGAUGGAGCAACGCCGCGUGAGUGAUGAAGGGUUUCGGCUCGUAAAACUCUGUUGUUGGAGAAGAACAGGUGUCAGAGUAACUGUUGACAUCUUGACGGUAUCCAACCAGAAAGCCACGGCUAACUACGUGCCAGCAGCCGCGGUAAUACGUAGGUGGCAAGCGUUGUCCGGAUUUAUUGGGCGUAAAGCGAGCGCAGGCGGUUUUUUAGGUCUGAUGUGAAAGCCUUCGGCUUAACCGGAGAAGUGCAUCGGAAACCGGGAGACUUGAGUGCAGAAGAGGACAGUGGAACUCCAUGUGUAGCGGUGAAAUGCGUAGAUAUAUGGAAGAACACCAGUGGCGAAGGCGGCUGUCUGGUCUGUAACUGACGCUGAGGCUCGAAAGCAUGGGUAGCGAACAGGAUUAGAUACCCUGGUAG